rnacentral:rRNA from 1 species
CUACGGGAGGCAGCAGUAGGGAAUCUUCCGCAAUGGACGAAAGUCUGACGGAGCAACGCCGCGUGAGUGAUGAAGGCUUUCGGGUCGUAAAACUCUGUUGUUAGGGAAGAACAAGUGCUAGUUGAAUAAGCUGGCACCUUGACGGUACCUAACCAGAAAGCCACGGCUAACUACGUGCCAGCAGCCGCGGUAAUACGUAGGUGGCAAGCGUUAUCCGGAAUUAUUGGGCGUAAAGCGUCCGCAGGCGGUCUUUUAAGUCUGCUGUUAAAGCGUGGAGCUUAACUCCAUUUCGGCAGUGGAAACUGGAAGACUAGAGUGUGGUAGGGGCAGAGGGAAUUCCCGGUGUAGCGGUGAAAUGCGUAGAUAUCGGGAAGAACACCAGUGGCGAAGGCGCUCUGCUGGGCCAUAACUGACGCUCAUGGACGAAAGCCAGGGGAGCGAAAGGGAUUAGAUACCCUGGUAGUCCACGCCCUAAACGAUGUCAACUAGUUGUUGGUGGAGUAAGAUCCAUGAGUAACGUAGCUAACGCGUGAAGUUGACCGCCUGGGGAGUACGGUCGCAAGAUUAAAACUCAAAG